UACGAAGGGGGCUAGCGUUGCUCGGAAUCACUGGGCGUAAAGCGCACGUAGGCGGAUUGCUAAGUCAGGGGUGAAAUCCUGGAGCUCAACUCCAGAACUGCCUUUGAUACUGGCGAUCUCGAGUCCGGGAGAGGUGAGUGGAACUGCGAGUGUAGAGGUGAAAUUCGUAGAUAUUCGCAAGAACACCAGUGGCGAAGGCGGCUCACUGGCCCCGGUACUGACGCUGAGGUGCGAAAAGCGUGGGGGAGCGAACAGG
rnacentral:rRNA from 1 species